AAGACUAUAGACCUGCGGAGUACCUGCGGAGGGAUCAUUACCGAGUUAUCCAACUCCCAACCCCUGUGAAUCAUACCUUUAAUUGUUGCUUCGGCGGGACUUCGCGCCCGCCGGGGACCCAAACCUUCUGAAUUUUUUAAUAAGUAUCUUCUGAGUGGUUAAAAAAAAUGAAUCAAAACUUUUAGCAACGGAUCUCU
rnacentral:misc_RNA from 1 species